rnacentral:lncRNA from 1 species
CAGGCGUGUCUUCCGCGUUUUUAACGGUAGUGGUGGUGGUGUCGGAUAGCGGUCCGCCCCGUUCCGCGGCUUGGCCGGGGCACCCUGGAGGUGGCAGCUCGCCUCCCGCCCGUGCCUGGCUUCGCUGCGACGCUGCAGGUUGGCACUUCCUCUUCGGCCCCUGCGUCCGAGGCGGCUCCAUUUCUGUGCUGUGGUAAAACCAAGAGGUCAUAAGCAUUUGUGUAUUAACCGCUACAGUAACAGCAGAGGAGAAGGAAAGGCCGAGCAUCAACAACAACAACAGUCUGUAAAUGUAUACUUCUGGCUACAUGGAAGAAUGAUCAGACUUUUAUGUUUGCCUCAACACAAAGCUGAAAUCUUUGAAAUACUUGCCUACAGAACAGCAGUAACUUAAGAAAUUCAGUGGGAUAACUUGUACAGCACUGCAGAGACAGAUCGUCAGCUGCUAACUCAGCAGAACUUGGCAUGACUGAGAAUGUCAGUGGAGAAAGAAUCCUUCAAUGGCUGAGAAGAAAACUUCUGUAUUGCCAGAAAGAUGCAAAGUAACUCUUCUCAAAGGUAAAUUCCAGCCUUUAGGCCUGUUCCCUAGUAUUUAAGAGAAACCUAGUUUUCAUCCUCAUGGAACAGGGUAAUAGAAUGAGUGGAUAAUGG